GGUAGAGUGGCCGAGCGGUCUAAGGCGCUGGUUUUAGGCACCAGUCUCUUCGGAGGCGUGGGUUCGAAUCCUACCUCUGCCA
rnacentral:tRNA from 1 species